UCCCGGUUUAAGCGUGUAGGCUGGUUUUCCAGGCAAAUCCGGAAAAUCAAGGCUGAGGCGUGAUGACGAGGCACUACGGUGCUGAAGCAACAAAUGCCCUGCUUCCAGGAAAAGCCUCUAAGCAUCAGGUAACAUCAAAUCGUACCCCAAACCGACACAGGUGGUCAGGUAGAGAAUACCAAGGCGCUUGAGAGAACUCGGGUGAAGGAACUAGGCAAAAUGGUGCCGUAACUUCGGGAGAAGGCACGCUGAUAUGUAGGUGAAGUCCCUCGCGGAUGGAGCUGAAAUCAGUCGAAGAUACCAGCUGGCUGCAACUGUUUAUUAAAAACACAGCACUGUGCAAACACGAAAGUGGACGUAUACGGUGUGACGCCUGCCCGGUGC
rnacentral:rRNA from 1 species